rnacentral:rRNA from 1 species
CCUACGGGAGGCAGCAGUGGGGAAUAUUGCGCAAUGGGCGAAAGCCUGACGCAGCGACGCCGCGUGAGGGAUGAAGGUCUUCGGAUCGGAAACCUCUGUCAGCAGGGAAGAACGGUCACUGUGCUAAUCAGCAGUGAAUUGACGGGACCUGCAAGGGAAGGACCGGCUAACUCCGUGACAGCAGCCGCGGUAAUACGGAGGGGGCGAGCGUUAAUCGGAAUUAAUGGGCGUAAAGCGCUAGUAGCGGGUAUGGCAAGUCAAGGGUGAAAUACCCGAGCUCAACGUGGGAACGGCAUUUGAAACUGGCAAACUGGAGUGUGUGAGGGGAUAGUGGAAUUCCAGGUGUAGGAGUGAAAUCCGUAGAUAUCUGGAGGAACAUCAGUGGCGAAGGCGACUAUCUGGCACAUAACUGACGCUGAGGAGCGAAAGCGUGGGUAGCAAACAGGAUUAGAUACCCGGGUAGUC